GUAAAUACGUGAAUACAGCCUAGGAUAAGGAGUUAGCAAAGAAAUGGCAGAAUUAAAGCUCAGUGUCUUGACAGUGGUGUACCUUGGUUUAUUAUGUGUGAUAACAUUUGGUACCGCGGACCAGAACAUGGAAUCUUCAAAUGCUUCUAAAGAAAACACAAUUAUAGCCUUACGAAAAGUGUGUGAAGAGUUGUGUUUUGAAGAGUCAGCUUAUUGUCCGAACGAAUGUCAGAUGGCGAUAUUACAACCCCUGGUUAGCAGUGACACUAUCCCGUCCUAUGACAAGGGAGCAUCACGGGGAAUAGACGGCCUUACAUUUGAUGACUAUUUGUUCUUGAGAUGGCUUGGCCGAGAUAUGAGCCGAAGGAGGAGAGUGUACAAGUAAACGAACCCAAUCAAGAGGAUUACUUUCUUUUCAGCAAGCAAAUAUAAAUGCGUCAUCAACUUCGAUAUGGAGUGUUUCCAAUCACCGAUACAUUAAAACACGGCGUGAUGAGCAAAUACAGGUUCAUUUGAUAAGCCUGGCAUCAAAGCAUAGCGAAGUCCUGCAUGAAGAGGAAUGAUUGUUUUAUGGUUUUCUAUGAUGAAUGUAUUCUUCACAGUUUGUAAACCAAUAAUGAACGCUGUUUAAGUGUUGUUCUUCUU